rnacentral:rRNA from 1 species
UACGUAGGGUGCGAGCGUUGUCCGGAAUUAUUGGGCGUAAAGAGCUCGUAGGUGGUCUGUCACGUCGGAUGUGAAAACUCGGGGCUCAACCCCGAGCCUGCAUUCGAUACGGGCAGACUAGAGUUCGGUAGGGGAGACUGGAAUUCCUGGUGUAGCGGUGAAAUGCGCAGAUAUCAGGAGGAACACCGGUGGCGAAGGCGGGUCUCUGGGCCGAUACUGACACUGAGGAGCGAAAGCGUGGGGAG